GUCCUUGCUUAGGCAGCACAUAUACUAAAAUUGGAAUGAUGCAAAGAAGACUAGCAUGGGAACUGCAAAAGGAUGACAUGCAAAUUUGUUAAGCAUCUCAUAUUUUG
ensembl:snRNA U6 U6 spliceosomal RNA